ensembl:lncRNA
GAGAGAGAGAGAGAGAGGGUUAGAGAAAGAGAGAGAGAGGGUUAGAGAAAGAGAAAGAGAGACAGAGAGGGUUAGAGAGAGAGAGAGAAAGGUAGAGUAAGAGAGGGUUAGAGAGAGAUAGAGAGAGAGAAAGAGAGAGAGAGAAUUUAAUUGGGAGAGGUAGAGUAAGAGAGAGAGGGAGAGAGAGUGAGAGGUAGAGUAAGAGAGAGAGAGAGGGUUACAGAAAGAGGGUUAGAGAGAGAGGGUAGAGAGAGAGAGAGAGAGAGAGAGAGGGGAGGGGUUAGAGAAAGAGGGUUAGAGAGAGAGGGUUAGAGAGAGAGAGAGAGAGAGAGGGUUAGAGAAAGAGAGAGAGAGGGUUAGAGAAAGAGAAAGAGAGACAGAGAGGGUUAGAGAGAGAGAGAGAAAGAGGUAGAGUAAGAGAGGGUUAGAGCGAGCAAGAGAGAGAGGGUUAGAGAGAGAGAGAGGGUUAGAGAGAGGGUUGGAGAGAGAGAGAGAGAGGGUUAGAGAAAGAGAGAGAGAGGGUUAGAGAAAGAGAAAGAGAGACAGAGAGGGUUAGAGAGAGAGAAAGAGA